GUAGGUGGCAAGCGUUGUCCGGAAUUAUUGGGCGUAAAGCGCGCGCAGGCGGUCCUUUAAGUCUGAUGUGAAAGCCCACGGCUCAACCGUGGAGGGUCAUUGGAAACUGGGGGACUUGAGUACAGAAGAGGAAAGCGGAAUUCCAAGUGUAGCGGUGAAAUGCGUAGAGAUUUGGAGGAACACCAGUGGCGAAGGCGGCUUUCUGGUCUGUAACUGACGCUGAGGCGCGAAAGCGUGGGGAGCAAACAGGAUUAGAUACCCUGGUAGUCCACGCCGUAAACGAUGAGUGCUAAGUGUUAGGGGGUUUCCCGCCCCCUUAGUGCUGCGGCUAACGCAUUAAGCACUCCGCCUGGGGGAGUACGGCCCGCAAGGCUG
rnacentral:rRNA from 1 species